rnacentral:rRNA from 1 species
GACGAACGCUGGCGGCGUGCUUAACACAUGCCAGUCGAACGGAAAGGCCUGGUUUCUGUUGUGGAUUGGGGGGACGCGAGGGGCGAACGGGUGAGUAACACGUGAGUGAUCUGCUGGGAUCUUGGGUAUAAGCCUGGGAAACUGGGUCUAAUUACCGAUAGGACUGCAGGGUGGUGUGGGAGGUGGAGGACGAUUUGCUAGUGGUUGGGGAUGAGCUGGCGGCCUAUCAGCUUGUUGGUGGGGUAAUGACCUACCAAGGCGGCGACGGGUAGCCGGCGUGGGAUGGUGGACGUGCGCAUUGGAACUGAGACACGGCCCAGACUCCUACGCGAGGCAGCAGUGGGGAGUCAUGCACGAUGAGCGUAACCCAGAUGCAGCGAGGCCGCGUCGGCGAUGCCGGGCUCCGGAUUGUGAACUCCUGGCGACAGACAGGUAGCCACCUGGAUGGAAGGGUGGUGACGGUAGUGGUAGAAGAAGCACCGGCUAACUACGUG